rnacentral:rRNA from 1 species
GCUGGCGGCGUGCCUAACACAUGCAAGUCGAACGAGAAAGGGGAGCAAUCCCUGAGUAAAGUGGCGACCGGGUGAGUAACACGUGACUAACCUGCCUUCGAGUGGGGGAUAACCUCGGGAAACCGGGGCUAAUACCGCAUAAUGCCUUCGGGUUAAAGGAGCAAUUCGCUUGAAGAGGGGGUCGCGGCUGAUUAGCUAGUUGGCGGGGUAACGGCCCACCAAGGCGAUGAUCGGUAGCCGGCCUGAGAGGGCGCACGGCCACACUGGAACUGAAACACGGUCCAGACUCCUACGGGAGGCAGCAGUGGGGAAUUUUGCGCAAUGGGGGAAACCCUGACGCAGCAACGCCGCGUGGAGGAUGAAGUCCCUUGGGACGUAAACUCCUUUCGACCGGGACGAUAAUGACGGUACCGGUGGAAGAAGCCCCGGCUAACUUCGUGCCAGCAGCCGCGGUAAUACGAGGGGGGCGAGCGUUGUUCGGAAUUAUUGGGCGUAAAGGGCGCGUAGGCGGUGCGGUAAGUCACCUGUGAAACCUCUGGGCU